GACGAACGCUGGCGGCGUGCUUAACACAUGCAAGUCGAACGGAAAGGCCCUGCUUUUGUGGGGUGCUCGAGUGGCGAACGGGUGAGUAACACGUGAGUAACCUGCCCUUGACUUUGGGAUAACUUCAGGAAACUGGGGCUAAUACCGGAUAGGAGCUCCUGCUGCAUGGUGGGGGUUGGAAAGUUUCGGCGGUUGGGGAUGGACUCGCGGUUUAUCAGGUUGUUGGUGGGGUAGUGGCUUACCAAGGCUUUGACGGGUAGCCGGCCUGAGAGGGUGACCGGCCACAUUGGGACUGAGAUACGGCCCAGACUCCUACGGGAGGCAGCAGUGGGGAAUAUUGCACAAUGGGCGGAAGCCUGAUGCAGCAACGCCGCGUGCGGGAUGACGGCCUUCGGGUUGUAAACCGCUUUCGCCUGUGACGAAGCGUGAGUGACGGUAAUGGGUAAAGAAGCACCGGCUAACUACGUG
rnacentral:rRNA from 1 species